rnacentral:rRNA from 1 species
GAUGAACGCUGGCGGCGUGCCUAAUACAUGCAAGUCGAGCGAACAGACGAGGAGCUUGCUCCUCUGACGUUAGCGGCGGACGGGUGAGUAACACGUGGAUAACCUACCUAUAAGACUGGGAUAACUUCGGGAAACCGGAGCUAAUACCGGAUAAUAUAUUGAACCGCAUGGUUCAAUAGUGAAAGACGGUUUUGCGGUCACGUAUAGCUGGAUCCCGGCCGCAUUAGAUAGUUGGUAAGGUAACGGCUUACCAAGGCGACGAUGCGUAGCCGACCGGAGAGAGUGAUCGCCCACACUGGAGCUGAGCCACGGUCCAGACUCCUACGAGAGGCAGCAGACGGGAACGUGCCGCAAUGGGCGAGAGCAUGACGGAGCGAGGGCGCGUGAGUGAUGAAAGUCUUCGGAUCGUAAAGCCCGGUUAUUAGGGAAAAACAAAUUUGUAAGUAACCAAGCCCUUCUUGACGGUACCUAGUCAGAAAGCCACGGCUAACUACGUG